GUCCGAGGGCAGCGGGGCAGGCGCCCUCAGGGGCACGGAGGGCACCCUCACGGGCAGCCCUGCAGGCGUGGCCCGCUGUGCUGCCUUGAGCUAAGUGGGUGCCCUGCCUGAACUCCACCCACACCCUGCCUGCACCCUGCCUGCACCCUGCCCGCAGGGCUGGCAGCUCGGGGGUCCCCGCCCUCCCUGGGAGCUCUCUCACAGCAGGGGGCGACCUUGCACCGUCCCUUGCACGGUCCUUGCACCGUCCCUUGCACGGUCCUUGCACCGUCCCUUGCACGGUCCUUGCACUGUCCCUUACACGCGCCUUGCACUGUCCCUUACAUGUUCCUUGCACGGUCCCACCAGGCACGGUCCCUUGUACUGUCCAUUGCAUGGUCCUUGCAUGUUCCUUGCACUGUCCCUUACAUGCGCCUUGCACGGUCCCACCAGGCACGGUCCCUUGUACUGUCCAUUGCAUGGUCCUUGCAUGUUC